CGGGCUGUAAGCUCAAAGGUAGAGCUGCCGAGCUUUGCCUUGGCGGUAACAGGUUCGAAUCCUGUCAGCCCGA
rnacentral:tRNA from 1 species